CCCUAAGCUUCAGUUCUUGCUUCAAUUCCUGCUUCAGAGCUUUAAAUCUGUACAUUCCUCUCAAUUAACGAGAUGUUGACAACAGAACCUUGCUUGGUCUCCUUCUUUUUUCCCCCUUGACCCUCAGGUAGCACCUCUUUGGGACCCUGAAUAAAUGGACCUGCUGGACGGGUCUCGUGGCGGCCAAACAGGGACCUGAAGCAGAGCCAACUACCGGACGACAGAGACAAAGGAUCCACAGAGGAGAAGUUGAGGACUCUUCAGGCCGCAUCGCUCAUGCGUCGCUGGAGAGGGAGGUAAAAAUGCCAGCCAAAUAAUUGUCGUCCGAUUAUCAUGGGGAAGCAAUUAUCUACAGAAGCUUGUUUCAUAGAAGAGAUCAAGUGCUCACUCAAGGAGAGAGGAAUAAGAGUUAAGAAAAAAGGAUCUCAUUAAAUUUUUUUGUCGUUGUGUCAGAAACUUGUCUUUGAUUUAUUAUUGAAGGACCAGAAAUUAGCUCCUAUAGUUGGGACAAGGUUGGAAAGUGUUGAAAUGACUUAUUGUAAGAAAAAGGAUCCGAAGCCGUUCCGAUUCAGGAAAUAGCAUCUGUGUCUUUCUGUUUUUGUGUUUUUUGCUGGCUAAACUCUGGGUCUGUAUUUGCUACUCUGGGUCUGUAUUUGCUUGUGAGUUCUGGAGUUCUGGUUUAGCAAUUGCUCCCAUCUCGGGCUGAGAGGGAGGCUCAUGUCUCAGGAGAGAUGCAAAUGUGAGCGGUAGAUGUGCCAGGGGCUCACCGAUUGCUGCCCUGGGUGAUGUCCCAGGAGGUGAGAAGGGACCCCAGGGAUGCCUGGGAGAUUCCCAUCUUGGUGCCAGUGAGGAUUAGAUGAUUCUCAUGGAUUGGAGAAAAGGCCCGUCUUUCCCGCUGUCUGUAUUUACAUAGUGGUCUUUGCCUGCGUGUCUUAGAUCUUUGUUUUGUGUUACUUGUGACUUUGACAAUGGGAAGAUUCUGGUUAGGAAGGAGGAGUGCUGUGGAAUCUGCUCCCCUUAAUCUCUCCUUGGUGAGCUCAUGGAAGCUCCCAUCUGAAUCAGUUCAGGUUUUGUGGCAAUCUUGCAGCAGCCGCUUUGUUUUUGUUUUUAUCUGCACUUUUGGUUUUUUUGUUUGUUAAUCUUUUGAUUGUCUUUCUGGGUGACUGAAUGCUUUUGCCCUCUUCAGUGGACCUCUAUUUCCUGACCCUCUUCUUGUUUUCUCACCAUCCCACUUGAGAUUCUUGUUGGUACCUGUUACAGGAAAUCUAUAAUGCUCACUUGAGGAGUGUGCUUUAGAAACAAGAAUUUCAUGUUUGCUCUGGGUUCCAUCAGGAUAGGUGUGGGGAUAAGCUUGAUCUCUAUUGCAAAUGAUGUCACAUUGCAUAUGUUAGUACUCCUUACACUUCUUGGGACUGUGCCUCAGGGAUCACAACCUGUAUAAGUUUAGAAGUUCUAAAAGGCAGUCAUGACCUUUGUGUGUAGUUUCAGAUAGUAUCCAGAUUGGAAUCCUGAUGCUAAAGAUUUACCAAGACACAAAAGAGAGUUGAGAAUUACUUAGGGCUAUCUUUAGGCUGAAUCUAGGUGCUGCGAGGGCAGCUACAAGGACAUCUGCUGUUGCCCUGCAUCACAAGGCUUAUGGAGAAUUCAGGACUGCCAUUGACUUAGAUAUAAAUAAAAAAGACUUUUUAGCUGACCUCCAAGAAUCCCUAAACCCCCUCUCAGAGAUAGUCCUUCAGAAUAAAAGAAGAUUAUACCUGAUAACCUUAAAGAAGGAGGUCUGUGUGCUACACUAAAAGAAAAAUGUUGCUUCUAUGUAGACCAUUCAGAACUAAUUAAAGACUCCAUAAGUAAACCUAAGACAAGGUUAGACAAAAGACAGAGAGACAAAAGUGCAUCAGGGAUGGUUCAAGAGCUUAUUUAGUAUAUCUCCUUGGAUGACUACUCUGACAUCUUCCCUUAUAGGACCCUUCUUAAUUUUGCUUCUGCUUCUUGAUAUAGGUCCAUGUGUGUUAAAUAAGCUAGUUACCUUCAUUAGAGAAAGAGUAAGUGCUGUUCAGAGUUUGAUGUUACGUCAGCAACAUCAUGCUUUAAUUUAGUUCUAUGAUUAGAACUAGCCACUAGAAGAAGUGGGGGAUGAAAGGUAAAAGUUUUAAAGUUGUCCCCCCUAGACACAAAGUUUAGAGCAGAAGAAACAGCUUAGGCCCCAGAAUUGUAUGUUCCAGGAAGCUUCUUCUAGGAUUAUAGAAUGUGUAAUUACAUUGGCUGGUUUGACAACUCUCUCCCAGGAACUAGCUGACCAUAAAUUUAGAUUAAAAUCUUAGAGAACAAUCUUUAGAUGCAGGAAGCUUCUCUCAGGAAUUAGCAGACCAUAAAGUUAAACAAUCUUGAGAAACAGGAAGCUCCUCCUUGUGAUUUUUCACUGGUAUUCUCGACAUUUUCCAAUGAGGUCCUUCCUACACCCUCUUCUCCAACAGCAGGUUUUUGGCAGCAAUAUCCUCUUUACUGGAUAUAUUUACCUGCCUCUUCUACUAGGGUCCUUCCCACCUAUCCCUUGCUCGUGGCACAAAUCAUAUGUCUUGGAAGAGAACAGUCCCAUAAGCUCUUUGGAAGGGACCCCGAUGCUUUAAUAUUACCCUAUAGCCCCUCCCAGCUCUCUUGUCUCAGUCAACAUGUAGAUGAGUGGUCAAUUAGCUGCAUUGCCUUUCAGGGUAAGAUAGAUAAUCAUUACUCCUCAGAUAAGUUGAUACAGUUUUCCAAAGGUAACAUGUGAUCACCCUAUGUCAGGAGUCCACCUUGUUUUACAGACGGCUCCUCUAAUGGACAAGCUGCAUUUUCCAUUGAUGGUCAAAUAAAACAGUUCUCUAUUCCUUUAGAUUCCGCUCAGCUGGUAGAGCUUCAAGCUAUCCUCGAAGUAUUUCGUGCGCUGCCUGAUGCACCCUUUAACCUAUAUACGGAUAGCUGAUAUCUUGCCUUUUCUAUCCCCCAGUUAGAAACAGUGCCCUAUAUUCGGCCUACCACCAAUUCUUACCCCUGUUUUCCAGCUUACAAAAGAAUAUUCAGAGGCAUCCUUGCCCCUUCUUUCUGGGACACAUCCGAGCACAUACUGGAUUGCCAAGCCCCUUGGCUGAUGGUAAUGAUGCCGUUGAACGCCUCACCUGGCUCGUGGCCUUGGCCUUCUCUAUGCCCCUUACACUUGCCCAAAAAGCACAUAACUUACAGCACCUUAAUGCACACACACUUAGGAUUAAAUAUAAGAUCACCCGUGAACAGGCUUGCCAAAUAGUCCGUAAUUGCAAAGGCUGUGUGACCCUACUGCCUGACCCCCACCUAGGGGUCAACCCCCAUGGGCUGGUUCCUGGAGAGUUCUGGCAAAUGGUUGUCACCCAUCUUCCCUCCUUUGGUAAAUUAAAAUAUAUUCAUGUCACCAUUGAUAGCUUUAGUGGCUUUAUCUAUGCAUCCCUGCAGAGAGGGGAGGCCACCAAAGAUGUUAUAAAUCAUGUUCUGGCUUGCCUCACAGUUUUACCUCAACCUAAGAUUGUUAAAACAGAUAAUGGACCUGAAUAUACUAGUUCUAAUUUUAAAGACUCUUGUUCCCAACUCGGAAUUAAACAUGUCACGGGCAUUCCUUAUAAUCCCAGCAACAGGGUAUAGUUGAAAGAACUCACCACACCCUUAAAAAUAUGAUCCAUAAAUUACAGUCAAAUGGGGGAAUAUUAUUCCCCCUCCCUGGUAAUCACAAAAAUUUAAUAAAUCAUGCACUCUUUGUCCUUAACUAACUUGUCAUGGAGAAGGAUAGAAAAACUGCAGCAGACCGCCUAUGGCACCCCCAUAAUUCUUAUGGUUAUGCACCAGCCCUAUGGAAGGGCCCAUUAACAUCCCAAUGACAUGCCCCUGAUCUGGUCCUCAUUUGGGGACAGGGAUCAGCCUGCAUUUAUGAUUCAAAGACUGGGGGCGCCUGUUGGCUAACCAAGUGCCUUGUUAAGGCCUUUAACCCACCCAGGGGACAACCCUGAGGAAAAGUCUAACUGUGCUUAAUUACAGAUCAUGCUGACCAUGUUUCCCUUCAUCUGGAUCCCUGGAAACAUCAUCAGGUCUGCCCUUGCUACAUUGCCUCGUCAGACCUUCAACUAUACCUGGGUGAUUCUUAAUGGCGCCAGAGAUGUGGUGUCUGCCAACUCCACCACCGCUGCACAAGUUCCUUGGCCCAAUCUUGAGUUCCUGAAGUUCUGGGAAAGAGGCACCUCCACUCGUACAAAGAGAGAACCCAUCACUGCUGUGACUCUUGCAGUACUCCUAGGCCUGUCACUUGUGGGGACAGGAACUGGGGUUGCCUCCCUUAUCACCUCCCAACAGAGUUAUCAUCAGCUCAAUGCCACCAUAGACAGGGAUAUCAGUGAGCUUCAACAAGGAAUAACCUAUCUUAAAUAUUCAGUCGCUUCCUUGGCUGAGGUUGCUCUACAAUAUAGAAGGGAUAGAUUAGAUCUUCCCUUUCUCCAACAGGGAUGGCUCUGUGUGGCCCUCAAGGAGGAGUGUUGCUUUUAUGCUGAUAAGACAGAAUUAGUAGUAAACAGCCUACAAAAAGUAGGAGAAAGUCUACAGAAGAGACAAAAAGAAAGAGAAAAGAGUGAAGCCUGGUAUAAAAAUUUGGUUUUCUGCCUCUCCCCUGAUCACCACUCUUCUACCCAGUAUCCUGGGUCCCUUUAUAGGACUCCUGCUACUUGUCUCCCUUGGUCCAUGGGUGCUUAGAAAGUUAACUGAUUUUAUCAAGGCCCAGGUGAAUUCAGCUACCAAGCAGGUCUCAGUCCAUUACCACCACCUCCAUUGUGAGGAGGCUGAGACAACCGGGGAGUGUGAUACUCCCCUUGGGUCACCUGCAGUUGGCCUCAACUUCUCCACCCUAAAUACAGCCUAUAUCUCAGGCUGGAAAAUCAGUGGCUGGUGAAAGCGUCAAUGACGGGAACAAUUAUGGUGCCACAUACCAGGCACACACCUCACCUCUGUGAAGAAACCCUAUGAUGGGAUUAGCACGGGUCCAUGAUCUGGGUCGCCCACUCUUACAAAACACACACGUAUAGCCCAGAAUGGUGUGUUAAAGCAUAAGAUCAUUCCUAGCCAUUGGGGUGCAGUCCUAACUGCAAAAAUGGCUCACCAUGGCUGAGCUGGACACUUUGUGAGGCAUGUCUGAUCUAUCUCAGACCACUACUUCCACCCUGGCAGAAAUAAUGAAACCUAAGUGAGAGUGCCAGACAUGGGGAAACCUGUCUAGACUAAGACAUCAACCAGUUGAUGGUUGUGGAUGCACACCAUAUAGACAGAACUUCCUCCUACUGAUAGUUAAGGAAAGGUGGAGAUGUCGGAGACCGAAUGCCUGAACUAAGCAAAGCUAAAGAGCAGAUUUCUGAGAAGGGCUUGACCUUUUCAAAGAACUUAUCCCCGGACGACAGUUGCCUCAGUGUCUAAGGAGAAUAUCCUGCAGUUUAAUGAUUUACAUUAUGUCCUUGGGCACUUCUCAGUACUCCCCUGCCCUAAGCUUCAGUUCCUGCUUCAAUUCCUGCUUCAGAGCUUUAAAUGCUGUACAUUCCCCUCAACAAACGAGACAUUGAAAACAGAACCUUGCUUGGUCUCCUUUUUUCUCCCCCUCCCCUUGACACUCAAGUAUCGCCUCUUCGGGACUCUGAAUAAAUGGACCUGCUGGACAGGUCAAGGUUUGAAUAAUAUAAACAAAAAGGAAAUAAAGAUCUAACAAUUUUGGAUAUAACUACUAUGCAUAUUAAUUUAAAAGUUUAUUAGUGGCUGCUUAGAAGGCUGAGUGGUUAAAGUCAUGUAGUACUCUUAUAGAGGAUGAAAGUUUGUUUUCCAGCACUCCUAUGAAUGACAUAAAGCUGCCUGUAUCUCUAGGAUCAAGGAAUCUGAUGGUUCUAGCUUUGGAGUGCACUUGAACCCAAGUGGACAUAAGUAUAUUCACAGACAUCGACAUUAAAUUCAAAUCAAAUAUUUCAAAAGUAUAAUUUAUAAGAAAGAAGACUUUAAUGACAUGUACCAUACAUACAUAGACCAUGUUUCUCCCAUAAGACAAGGGUUGUUAACUGAAAAUCUCAGUGCCAAAUGUGAAAUAUUUUCCUAUGAUUCAAGAAGGCCCCAGAGGGUCCUAAAACAGAAAGAACAUCUCCACUGCUCUUGGUUUUCUCCCUGAACCAAAGAGUAAGACACUGUAUCAGAAGACAAAUUUUAUUCUGCCUGUAGCAUAAGGAGAAAUCAUGUUGGUAAAGUCCUGGAAAAUAUCCUUUUUGCUGGGUAAUAUUCUUUGUCUUAGAACUUGAUGCACAGCCUACUGUGGGAAAAAAGUUAUCAGUAGUUUCACCCAACAAGGUACUUGAAUGCUGUAAUGCCUAUUUGCCAGACAAGAUAAGUAUACUGCUGCAACCCUUGCACAAAUGGUCUGGGAACAACCAACUUUUUUUUAGUAGCUUUGAUGCUUGUACAUCAGGAGUGAAAGAAUUCAUGUCUGGGAUUGUAAACUUUUAAGGGUGAGUUUUAUUUAUUAAAAUUUCACGUAUGAAUACCUAGUUUUUUUUCUGUUACAUAUGCUUGAGACACCAUCCUUAAUUUAGAAUUAUCUUCGUGCCAUUAGCAUUAUUUAGGGACCACAGUCAAGUAAGUCUAUUUCAGCGAUGUCCCUUUUCUCAUUGACUAUAUAAACUAGUGACUACAGGUAUUUAGAAACAUUGAAAUCAAACAAUGUGUGUCACCUAACUUUACACUUUCUUAAAGUUAAGUUAGGAUAUUUUAGGUAAUUUAUGUUCUUAUAUUUUUUUUCAAAUCAGCUUAUUGAUAACUAAGAAAAUUGCUGAUAACUCAUUGAUUUUACUAAUAGUUAUUUCCUAUCAUGUAUACUUUACUGUGUCUUAUAUGUAUUUAUAUGGAGUUUUUUUAAUUCAUAUUUUUCUAAAUUUUUGGUAACAUAGUUUGAAAAAGGAAGUUCAAGGGGAGAAAAAGGAGAUGUUGGGUAUGUUCUGAGGACAGCAUACAAUGGCAGGGACUGCCAACACUAGGCUGGGAUGGAGACAUCUCAUAAGCCCAUGGCAAACUUUAGUAAAAAAUGGAGGCAUCUAGAACCAUGAAAAGCAGGAGACACUCCCUCCAGGGGAUAUGUCUUUUGAAAUAAGAGUCUGCAUGCAAUAGGUCAUGAUGGCAACAUCUCAGUAGCCCACAGCAGCUCUCUGUAAUAAAAGGUUGUUCCCAUUUCUCCUAAAUUUAGCCCUAGAGAACAGCUGUAUAGAUUUCAUUUGUGAGUGACUGCUUUUCAGUUGGCUUUGGUGUGCAUAAUUAUUCUAUUACAUUUGACUUUCCCACUUCAUUAUCCUUCUGCUCUAUUGAAUACUUUAAAACUAGAUGUUCCUUGAUGUAAUGAUUCUUAAACAAUUUGAAAUUGAGGCAUAGGGACACAGAAUAGCACAGUCCUAAAGGCCGCAGUGCAUUCUGUGUGUUCUCAUCUUGGAUAUAAUUUAAUAACUGCACAAUAGUAGUCCCAGAUUAAUACUUGACGAGCAAAGAAACUUUAAAGAAAUUAUUAAAACAUGAAUUAGAGCCAAAAUUGGGAUCUCAAGAAAGUAAAAUGUUACUGAAUUUAGGAAAUAAGUUUUACCUAAUAUUUAGAAGUGGUUUGUGGAUAAGGAAGUAUAGAAUAUAUAAAAUUAUAUACUAGUAGAACUAAGUAAAAAUGGACUCUUACAAGAGUCAUUGUGUGCAAGGAACAGAAAGCUAGCAGGACUACUGAGAUAAGUGUUAACUUGAUACUUUGUGGCCACUGCAUGGCAGCUUUGCCCAUGUCUUUUAUCAUUAGAGCUUCACAGGAAAUGCAAGUAGCUGAUCUCAGAGGUUUGAGCUCUGAAAUAUAAUAAGUCAAAAGUUAAUGUUUAAAUAAUAAUAACUUUACAAUUAUUAUUAUUAUUAUGAACAUAGGCCUGGGAAUAUGGGAAGUUUGAAACUUUGGGGAACAAUUGUAAUACAUAAUUCGUUGUGGGAUGUGGUUAUUCUUUUGAAUUUGAUUUGGAAAUGAUUACACGAUGGCUUUUCUCUUCCUGCUUUUGGAUUAUCAAUGAAAGCCUGUGUUAAGAGAAAGGCCAGAGAAUAAACGAGCAAGCACAGAAUGGAGCAAAUGUGAGAGCAAUUCUGAGAGUGAAUGUGAGAGGGGAAUGUGAGAGUGAAUAAGAGAGCACGAGGAGAGCAUGUGAAGAGUGAGGGAAGAAAGAAUGUGAGGUGUGUAUGAAGUUUAUGUGUGUGAGUAAAAUGAGAGCGCAUGUGGUGUGUCUGUGAUAUAUAUGUGAGGUGUGUAUGAAGAGUGUGUGUGAGAAUGAAAUGGUAAUUUAAAGAGGUUUGCAUGAGUGUGGGCGUUCCAGAAAAGAAAAGCACAAUUAAAAGAGCAGAAUGUGCAAGAGAAUGCAGAGUGUAUUUAUCCUCAAGAUGCAAGCAAGCAAUCAACAGAGAAAGAGAAAAGAAGAGAAAAGAAGAAGAAGAAGAAGAAGAAGAAGAAGAAGAAGAAGAAGAAGAAGAAGAAGAAGAAGAAGAAAAAGGAGAAGAAAAAGGAGAAGAAAAAGGAGAAGAGAGAGAGAAGAGAGAGAGCAAGAGAGAGGAGAAAGAGACAGAGACAGAGAGACAGAGAGAGAGACAGAGAUAUACAGAGAGGGAGAGACUUUAAGUCUUGAAAUUGCCUGUCAGUUUUUAUCCUAAUUGUUUUCUGUGUAUAUUUAUUAUGUGCUGUGUAGAUAUCAUUGCUUCCAGUUGAGAACUCUGAUCCUGUGUUGACUCUGGAACCCAGCAGCUUAUGCUUGGUUCUCAGUGCAGUAUUGGUGUGGGGAUCGACAAAUGGAGGUCUCACCGAGAUUGAGAAAGAGGUUUUCUGACGGGGCAUCCUGGGAAGCUGGCUGGCAAAGAAGGAGGGAUGUAUUGGGGUAAGAUGUGCGAGAAAAGGCCUCAGUGAUUUGGACUAGCAUGAGUAAAACUUGUAUAAAAAAAGGGGGGGGGGGUUCAAGGUACAGGUAAAGCAUUUUUGCCUAUAUGUUCUUUUUUACUUAUGUUUUAGUCUUUGGACCCUGACUAGAGAUAGUUUAUGCCCUAUAUAUGAGAGAGAAUAGGUUUGGAGAAAACAGACCGCCCAGACUCCCUGCAGAAGCUUUGAAGAAAGAGAAGGAAAAUGAGCUUAAGCUUCUUCAGAACUCUCCUAGGGACAGAAGGAAGGCAGCAGACAACCUGCCUCUUUGCUGGCUCCUAUUGGAGAAAUGCUUAUUUCUGGUUCUGGGUUCCAUAGGUAGGAUAAAUGGGUCCCUUUGGUGGGACACCAUCUAGUUAUGUCUAUUAUCUCUCCUAGGUGCGCCAAGCUGUCCAGGUCUGUCAGUUUAUGUCUGUGGUUUCUUGCUGCUUAAAUGUUUAAUGUUUCAUGUUCAAAGAAAAGAUAUUGUGAACCCUCAAACUUUACAAUUAUUUAUGCUAUACAACUGAUUGGAGGCAAGUUUUCUACACGAAAUCAGCUUACUCCCAGUUCUCAGUGCCGUGCAGGUGUGGGCAUUGACACAUCAGUGUAUCAUGAUGAUGGGUUGAUGGUAUGAAGACACUGAAAUUUUGGGGACAGAUGUACAGACAUGGAGGGCCCAAUCCUCUGCAUGAGAACUUUGUGGUUCCUCCCACUACCUACUCUAUAUGUAGGAUUUGGGUUUGGGAAUCAUUUCAGCUCUCCUCAAUUCUUGAUUUUAUGAUUCCAAUGUCUUGGCGCACCUCAGAAGGGUAAGACCUUCAGCAACAUUCUUUUUUAUUUAUUUAUCAGAGCCACUGUCCCAGUUCUUGUCUGAUGCUUGAGCCUGCCCUCAAAGGAACCUCUUAAAUUUGAUUUUCCUUUUUUAUCUCUGAUAUGCUUCCAGUCCACUACAUUCAGCUCCAACUGGAUAGUUUCUGUGAUACUAAAAAUGAAGAAAUGUGUUCCUUGAACCUUGAGGGAAGCUUCUUAUGGAAUGUGAGACAGGAAGUCUCAAGAUGAUGGAUUAUACUUUCCCUCAAGUGCUGUGCACUUCUCUAUCCCUGGGGAAUAGGAGUGGAAACUUGGGGAAUGAGCUUUCCUGUUAAAGGAGGAAAUAUCUCUCUGUGUUCUACGGCAAUCACUGGUUCUUAGAGGAGCAAACCUCAAGGAGAAAUUUCACAUUUGGUAAGUCCCUGAAGGGUUUGCAGAGGAUUGCUAGGAAGACAUAAUCAGGUAGACGAAAUUUGUUCCCUAAAACUCUACUUAGGAAAUUUGGGAUUGGUGUCCUGGCUGUAAGAAGAUUAUGGUAUGAGGGAUGAUGUCUACAGAUGUGAUCUUAGUAUUCUUUCUGACUAUGACCAAUCUCACUGGAGACUGACUCCUCAUUUUCUGAGUCACUGAAUUCACACACACACACACACACACACACACACACACACAAACACACACACACACACACACAUUUUGACCCUUGUCUUACUUCUUCACCAGGUGGCUGUAUCCAGUAUGUGUUCCAAGAAUGUUCUCACAUGUGCCUUAAUGAAACAUUGAUCUUGGGAAAUAAGACAAAUUAAAGGAAAAUUUGAAAGGACAAAUUGUUGUGAAACAACUUUUACUAGCCUAGCUUAUCUUUACCUGUUCCAAGGACAGUCCUUAGCACUUCAUCUUCCUCCUGGACCCUUACAACAAUUCAGUCUCUAUUCCAGCACUGCCCAAGUUUUAACAACACCUUGUACUCUGCAUCUGGUGUGGGUAGUUGGAGAGCUCAGCUGGGAAUAGAGAAAAACUUUGUGUUCUACACCAACCUCUGUGCUCCUACCCUUUUGUAGAUACUGAUUUCCUUCCUUCCUUCUAUGCCCCCAUGAUUGACAGAUUACAUACACUUUUUACUCUGGGAUUCAUAUUGACCUUUUUUUUCACAAAUGCAAGAAGACUUAAAUUGAUACUGUAGUCAGAUGAUGGUUCUCCAACAUUGACUAUGGAAGAGCUGACACCUGUACUUGAUGACUACUUCUAUGGUGCAUUUUCCAAUGGUAUUUCCAUCAAAUUACACCUCUAGCAUAUUCUUUCAGUCUUAUUCCAUGCAUUUCACGUGAUGUUGGUACUAUUGUGGUGUGACAUGAACAACAUAAUUGAUAACAAGGCAUGGUGAUUCACAGCUUAAAUCCCAGCUCAUGAGAAGAAGAAGCUGAUGGAUUUCUGUGAUUUUGAAAAUAGAUUGUUCUACUUAGUGGGAUUACCUCCCAAAACAGUGGAAGAGAUUUAUUUUAUACAUUCUUUUUUUUUCCAGAGCUGAGGACCGAACCCAGAGCCUUGAGCUUCCUAGGCAAGUGCUCUACCACUGAGCUAAAUCCUCAACACUAUUUUAUACUUUCUUACAUCUCCCUUAGCAGUACAUUGACUUUACCAUUUCCAAAAAACAACCUCUCCAAUUUUUCCAGAUUUAUUCUUUGUAUAACCUGGGUCCUACUAUUCCCAAUCUCUAUCUCAUUUAAGUUCAUUGUUUAUGUUGUUAAUAUUUUCCUUUAGUCAUUAAUCUUUUAGGUGUUCAAUAAUUUCUUCCCAAAACAACAGAUACUAAUUGUAAUAUCUUUCCUUGUUUCAUUUUGUUGGUUGAAUAAAACAUUGUGAUGGAAAAUGACUUAGUGUUGAGACUGUUUAUGUGACUUAUGGACUACUGUUCACUUUCAGCUUCACUUAUGAGUCUUAUGAACCAGAUGUGUGAAUCACUGGUGUUGGAUUGGAGGUAAUAAAACUUGGAUGUGAGGUUUUUGGGAGAUCAUUAGGUCAUGAGAAUAGAACUAUUACAGAUACGACUCAUGUUUCUAUUAAGGAAAAAUACAAAGGGACUCCUGGUUUCUUCUCCUCUGUGUGAAUACACAGAAGAGGGUCAAUUAGGAAUCAGAAAAUGGCCUACCAGGCCAUUGAAUCUUCACCAACUUUAUGCAAUACUUCCUAAACUUCGGGUACAUGAGAAAAUUUUCUUUUGUUCAAGUCAGAGGCAAUUUCAUAAAACAACAACAGACCAAAAGGGGUUAUAGAGUCAAGUCACAACAGAUAUACCUACAAAAGAACCACUGGGCAUAAGGAUUUGGCAUCUUGUAGGUGUAAUUGAAAGAGGAUAAGAGCCAGAGGAUCCUGGAGUUUGCUAUGAAAUUGUGUGAGCUGUCAAUGUCAGAACCUACACCCAUGAUGUCUUAUCAACUUGACUGUUUAAACAUGUACUGAACAAGGACAACAGUAGCUAUCGAAUAUGGAUAUGAGGAAUGUGUCUUCUAAUUUUGUCCAUUUUAAAAUGAUUUUGAAGGAUUUAAGUCUUUUGUUUUGCCAUGGGAAAUGGCAAAUCAUUUUAUUAAUUUCUACUAAAGAUUAUUGAGAAAAUUGUUUUUCAGUUUAAAGAAGGUAAGUAGAUUAAUGAGCACACAUUUGUAAAGGCCUUCCUCAGGAAUUCUUAGAAGUCGCUGGAAACUUUAAUAUAUUAUGAGGUAGAAAUUUGCUUAGUUGUUAAGGUCAUGUAACAUUCUCUUAAAGGACAUAAUUUAGUUCACAACAUCCACUUCAGAGAAAUCACAACCACUGAUAACUACAUAUCGAGUGUAUUUAUAGUUAAGUACCUCUUUUCGGUUCAGAAGGCAUCUAAAUUUGCCUAUUAAAAAGAGUAACAAGAGGAUAUGCAUAUAUGUAAAUAUAUAAUUUAAUAAAUAAGUAAAUGUAAAGAAAAUAUUACUAGAUGAAUUGGAAAUUAAAUUCAUAUAUAAACACAUAUAUGAAUAUUAUAUAUAUAUGAAUAUAUACAUGUAUAUAUACAUAUGACAACUUACUAAGAUAAAGGUAAAUAAAUCUUAAAUAAGAUGUACAACCCACUGAGGGUUUUGGUGUUUGUAUAUAUAGGAUUUGAGAGAUGACCACUCUGCAUUGUACAACUGUAUGUGAAUUCAUCUCUGGAAGAUGCUAAUUCUCCUCCUCCGAGUAGUUAUUACAUAUUUACAAUUCCUUUUCUAGGGAUGGGACUCCAUGAAUUCACUUUCCGAGACAGUUUUAAUGUCCUUAAGCUAAUGUAGAACUCUGCAUUUUAAAUGUCAAUGUCAUGGUAAGCCUAUUCUCCUCUUUUAUUCAUGUACAUAAUUAAUUUUAACCUAUAUACACAUAUUAGUUUUAACACGAUUUGUUAGUUUCUGCUUUUAAAUUGAAUAUGCUACAUUUCGAUUUAUAUAUCAAUAUUAUUUGAUUACAAGUUACCACUUUUCAUCUUUUUCUAACAUUUAGACUCAACAGUUUAAUUUUGAGCAUCUGUCAAUUUUUGAAAGCUAGAAACAGUCUAUCAGAAUGGGAAGGUCAGAGGCCUUAUUGAGUGAGAAUAUGAAUAGAAUACAUGUGCUAUGAAAGUAGGGGAUAGAAGUGUAAGCACAGUAAGGAAUGGUGAUAUAUAAGGAAUUGUAGGGUUUGGAUAACGAAAACAAAAAGAUAAAUAAAUAUCUAUUUUGAUCUAACUACUUUGCAUACUGAUUUAAGAAUGUAGUAGUGGCUAUUUAGAAGGUGGAGUGAUUAAAGUAAUGCAGUGCUCUUGUAGCAUAUGAAAGUUUUGUUUCCAGUACCCAUGUGUGUGACCCAAAAUUGUCUGUAACUCCAGCAUCAAGGAAUCUGAUGCCUCUAUACUCAGAGGGCACUUGAAUCCUCAUGCACUACAUACAUGGACAUGGACAUUAAAAUCAAAUCAAAUAUUUUAAAAGUAUAAUUUAUAAGAAAGAAUACUUUAAUGUCAUGUACCAUACAUACAUAAACAAUGUUUCUCCUAUAAGACAAGGGUUGUUAACUGAAAAUCUCAGUGCCAAAUGUGAGAUAUUUCCCUAUGACUAAAGGAGGCUCCAGAGGGUCCUAACACAAAAAGAACAUCUCCACUGCUCUUAGUUGUCUCCCUGAACCAAAGAGUAUGACACUGUAUCUGAAGACAAAUUUGAUUCUGGCUGUAGCAAAUGGAGAAAUUAUGUUGGAAUUGACCUAGGAAAUUUCCUUCCUGCUGGGUACUUUUCAUUGUCUUUGUACCUGAUGUGCAGCCUUCUGUGAAAGGAAAGUUAUCGGUAGUUUUACCCAGCAACUUAUAUUGAAUGCUAUAAUGACUAUUUGGCAGGCAAAAUGUGUGUACUGGUGCAAUCAUUGCACAAAAGUUCUUGGAGCAACCAAUUCCCUUUAUAGUAGCUUUAAAGCUUGUACCACAAGAGAAAAGAAUUCAUGGCUGGAAAUGUAAACUUGGUAAAAAAAAUUGGCUGAGAAGCUGUUAGAGCCAAAGGUUUGGGAGUAUCCAACUGCAGUUUGGUUUGUUAAGGAUAUGCUAUCAAACUAUUUUUUAAAUAUAUAUGUUUGUACAUAUACAUUCGUGUUCUUCACUUUGCACAUAAAAACUUCUAUGUGCAGUGGACAUCAGAACAUGCAUGACUCAUAACUUGUCCAAGUGCUCAGAAUGAAUGUUCAAUGCUCAUCCCUAAUGAGGUAUCUAUAAAUCCCUUACAAGUUUCUUGUAAACUAGAGAAAAAGAGAUUGAAUGAAUGAAUUGAAAUGAGUGCUAGAAGAUGCUGUCUUCUGAACAUGACAUGGACAAGCUGAUCAUGAAAUCAGAGAAGGUACAUUGAACUUAGAUAAUGACUUGUUCAAAGUUCCCAGGUGAAGUGUGUGGGGAACUGGGGUAGGUAAGAUCAAGAGAGAUGGUACACGGUUAAAGAAUAAGUUAAUAAUAUUUAUAAAAAAAUAAAAUCCACCACCUUUCUAAAACUUUGACAUUUUCUGCCCAAUAAUAUAGGCGCUUUUAGUGUCUUAUUUUUUAUAAACGUUUAUAAAUCGUUUAUAAACGAUUCUUCGCUCUAUUUCAUUUCCACUACUGUGUCAACUAAAUAUACCUGUUUAACAAAUUAUAUUUAAGUAUACUUGGGGUUUCCUGUAUAACAUUUUAAACUACUACAAAUUUCCUUUAAGUAUUACAUGAUUCAUAGGGAAUAAAUGCUUAGGAAGCAAACAUUUUGACUCAUCCCCUCUAUUAUUUCUGCAACUAACAUGUGUUUUACUUCUUGUGCAACAAAUCCCUUAUUAUGUCCUCACUGCUUUUUCUUAUUUUAAAGGAAUUUAUCAGCUCGGCCAAUUAAAAUGAGGGAAAGAGUGUUCUCUGCAUUCAUUAUCAUUAUCAUUAUCAUCAUAUCUUGUUCUCUACAUUUAUAUUUUAGGUUCAAUUAACAUCGGUUGUUACAUUACAUGUAUCCUAUAUUUUGAAUUCCUUUAACAUUUUAUAGUACUCAAAAACACUGAAUUUAUAAUCUUUUUUUCUGAUUCUUUAGAAAAAUAUGUAACUUUACUUAACUACAUUUGUGAGCUAUCAAAUUUAGUCCUUGAAGGGGUGUGGUGGUGCUGGUGGUGGUUGUGGUGUGUGUUUGUAUGUGUGUGCUUGUGUGUUUGUAGAAUGCUAUUUUUUGUCAGCAUUUGUAAGCUGGCAUCUCAAUAUCUUUUGCACAGCAUAGUUCCUAAUGAACGUUAAAUAAACAGUAUAGUGCCCUAUUUUCUUUAUGCUGAGUUAUUUUUCAGAAGGUCAAAGGUGUUAUAGUUUCAUUAUUUAUGUUAUUUGGCAUUUGAAGACGUAAUGGAUGUCAUAUCUUUAAAUAUAUUAUAUACAGCAAAAUAAUCAUAAAUAUUUAAAAUGUUUGGCAUUGUUCACAACUCUUGGAGGCAAAGUGAUUUAUUCAUAAAUUACCUCAUGUAGGAAGAUGAUGUGGGCCUCAAAUUUUGUUCUAACAAUUGUGUACUAUAAUGUCUCUGGCUCAAAUUUAGCACAAGGCAACAUACCCAGAGUAUAAUCACAAUUCUCAAUCUGCUGAGAUAUCCCCACAGACCUGAUGAAUUCAGAAAUGAAUUUCAAAAUUCUGCUAUAAGUCAUGAAUUUUUUUGAAAAUCAUAGUGUAGGCUAGUUAAUUUCAUGACACAUUUCAGAAGUGAAAAGUUAAUGAACCUUUUUGAGAGACAAGGAAUCAAGGAAUAAUACCACAUACCUAUAAUAAGUGAUUAGAAAGAGCAGGUGGAAACUACAGUGUCCUCGAUAGCUUCUUAGACAUUGAUCCUUGGGAGGACAAUAUCUGCAUUUGAGAUUCCCAUGGUUGGCAAAAUCAGCUAGAUAUUCUUAAAAAAUAGAAAAGUCCAAUUCAGAGGUAUAGGUAUUGUACCUGGAACGAUAUGUUGUUCUGGUACAAAGAAAAGACAAUUAACUUGACAAGAAUUUUCAUAAGAUUUAAUAAAACAUCUAUAUGUGGAAGAGCAGUGUGAGAUAGAGAGGAGAGAAAGGGACCAGAGAAAGAGAAGGAGAGGCAGAGAGAAAGUGAGAGGGACAGUGACAGGUUGAGGAAGGAGAAAGGGGAGAGAGAGAUAGAGAAAAGAGAGAGAGAGGGAGAGAGAGAGAGAAAGAGAGAGAAUAUGAAUGAGUCAUCCCAUGAGAGUAAAUGUGAUCCUUCAUUAACAUUAAGGGAAAGUUACUGUUCUUAUGUAGAUUGUCCUUUAUGAGGGAUGGUGAUUUUACUAGACAUGAGUAGCUCAUCACUUUCUUCUGUAUUAUAUUUUAUAGCAUCAUUCAUCUUUCCCUGAGGUUGGCCAUUUGUGAUGAAACAUCUGUCGCCAUGAGGAGUUAGACCCUAGGUAUUCAGAGAAAGUGUUAGAAGUCACAAUGUCAGUCUCCAAGUAUUCAGGAUCUGUUAUUAGAAGUCCAGAAGUCCUCAGUAGUCAUUAACUGAUGCUGCUGGCAAUGCCUGAUAUCCACAAGAGAACACCAUAAAGAGGUUUAGUAACUUAUUUGCCUGAGUCCAGCUACAGUGUGGCUCACGGCCAACAGAGGAGGUUUGGAGUCAGUGAAAGAAGAAAACUGACAUGAUCUGAGGGUGAAUCAUGAUAGUUGGGAGUUUAUUUAAAAAUCUAAACAUUUGUAUUCUAUAUUUGUACAAUUAGCCAUAGGUAAUAUGGAAGGAAGACUUAAUGGUUUCAUGAAGACUACUAUCGUUCCACAUACUGCUCUUAAUCAAUUUUAGCCCCAGUUGUCAACAUGAAGAAUGUAGGAGGCAAUCAAAUCUGUUUUAGUAUUUUUCUUUAAAGGAAAAGCAAUAAGUUGAGCCAGCAUCUAAUUUCAAAUUGUUCUCAAGGGUUCAAUAAACCUGUAAAGUGCCCCUUUACCCUUCCUCCUACAAGUUCUGCACCACUGUGGUCAGUCUCUGUGCUCAGAGAUAGUGAACAUUGAGUCCGGAGAAACAAACCCAUAAAGAAAAUUUUCAUCAUCUCAAGUGUUUUUGCAGUGUUUUUCUGCCAUGUGGCAUAAUAAGCAUUAGGUAGUUUUCUAAUUACCUUCCAUUGUGCCUUAGUCUUAAAAUAUGGGCCUUACUCUUACAUUCCCUUCCCUAAGGUAAUGUCCUGAUACCUUAUUUUUUUUCUAAUAUGCCAUACCUUCUUUUUUUAUUGGAUAUUUUUUUAUUUGCCCUUCAAUUCUUAUUCCCUUUUCUGGUUUCCCAGCCAUAAGGCCCCAUCCCAUCCAACUCUGCUUCUUCUAUAAGAGUGUUCCCCCUCCCACUCCCACCACAACAUUGCCCUACACUGGGGGGGUUUAGCUGUGUCAGUAUCAAGGGCUUCCCCUUCAAUUCAUGUCCAACCGUGCCAUCAUCUGCUACAUAUGCAGCUGGAACCAUGAAUCUGUCCAUGCAUAGUCUUUGGGUAGUGGUUUAGUCCCUGGGAACUAUGGCUUGUUGCUAUUGCUCUUCUUAUUGGGUUGCAUGUACCUUCAGUUCCUCAAAUACUUUCUCUAAUCCCUCCAAUGGGGACCCCAUUCUCAGUUCAAUGGUUUGCUGCUAGCAUUCUCCUCUGUAUUUGACAUGCUCUGGCUAAGCCUCUGGGGAAAGAACUGUAAUAGGCUCCUCUCAGCAUGCACUUCUUAACUCAAAAAUAUGAAACACAUCAUGAAUUUGUGUGUCAUCCUUGUGGAGGGUCCAUGAUGUAUCAUUCCAAUUUUAGUAUAUGUACUGCUGAGGCAAGCAAAUGCCAUACCAUCUUAUCCUUCAAUGUAUGUUCUUGUAUAUGAAAGACUUUUUAACAGAAUCUGCAUCUUGUAGGAUAUAUCAGUUCUUGCCAUUCAUCCUGAAAGUCACUUACACAGGAAAUUAAUGACAGGUACUAUUGUAUACAUAUUGACUGAACUUUUGUCCUCAACUGUCAAGGCCCCACAUUCUGGGUCUGGGCUCAUUGUUUCUCUUGAUUAUAUUCUUUCAUCCUUGCCAGCAGAUGCUUAAAGUUUCCUGAAACCAUCUUUCAGUUAAUAAAUCUUUACCUUCUCUAUUCUUGGUGCAAACAAGGGUGUGUUUUGGGGAUUCUAGUGUAGGAGUAGACAGAGAUAUAGUACUAUAUGGUCGCACAAUGGUGAAGUUUUUUCCAAUGAAUUAUUUUGAUUAUAGAGAUAGCUGUUGUAUAUACUCACAUGGUCUACCAAGGCCCAUACAAAAUUUGCCAGAGGGAUUAGGAAACUCUCAAAACACAUAGUGAAUCAUCAAAGAUGAAAGUAAAAUUAUGAUGUGAUCUAGAAUCAGUGAUGUUGAUAGGCUGGAAAAUUUCAAGCAGCAGUGAUCAACAUGUGGUCCAUGUUCAUUGUUAAGUAGUUGUACUUGAACAUUAAGUAAGUUGAAGGUGAAAAAUAGGAUUAAGAAAAAAGAAGCAAUAAGAAGAAAGAGAGCCUAAACUAACAGAGAAAAGGUACCCAAAAGCUGUCCUAACAAGAUCUGUACUAAUUCCCGAGUUAUACACUGUCAGGUUUAAUCUUUUUGUUUGAUUUUUCCGAGAUUUUUCCCCCUAUUUCUUUUGAAUUAUUGAUGCAGAAACAAAAAAGUUUCAUUAAUAAGGGCAUAUACAGGUCUGACUUCUGCAGAAAGGUUAUCUAGGGUUUUUCUUGUUUUGGAGGACCAUUUCUGUCAAGAGCUGAGGCGUUGUUUGUACAUCUUUAGUAGAGACUGUGGUCUUCUAGGUUAUGGGAUAGGAAAGGUAAUUCUUAAUAUUAACUUUUGCAGCUGUGAUCAUCCUUGACCAAAAUAAUUCUCUGUGAUUAUUCCAAAGUUGCCCACUUCUGACCAGUUUCUGCCUAGAGCUACAGACAUUUUGUUUUUCUUAUAUUUUCUGCUAGGGACUAAACAUAGGAAUUUCUUCUUUAGAGAAGUUCAGAUGGAGAAAAGAAUCAGGGAUGGGAAAUCUUCUAAAUAUCUUAAGUAUGGCACCCUCUUGAGUUUUAGGGCUACAUAUAGGUCUUAGCCACACAGAAAGUAGUUGCCUUUCUCAUUAAGUGUUACUCCACUGCUUGGUUUCUGAAUCUAAAUGAACUAUAAUCUGUUGUAAUUUACUAGGAUAGAAAAGUCCUACAGUCUGAGGAAUAGAAUCAUUCCUCUCUGGUGUUUGCAGAAGUGACUAGAAUAAAGGAGGGGCAUUUCAUAAAUAUGCCCAUGAUCAGCUUCCAUAUCUAUCCAAGCACUUUCAUUGGUUUUUAACUUUCUCAUCCUACCAUUCUUUUCACCUCAGGCAAAUUCUGUUAUUUCCUUUUUGAAAUUUUGGACAAGACUUCAUACUGUAUCCUUUGGUAACCUGCAUUUUCUCAUAUAGACAUGGCUUAUCGAUCACUCACAAAUCUUGUCUGUCUCUGCCUUACAAGGACUGAAAUUAUACUGCAAAGCCACUAUGCUUAGAAUUUUUAAUUAAUUUCUUUCAUAACUUUACUUUUUAUUAUUUCAAAAAAGUAUUUUAAAUGCAUAUGGGUAUUUUACCAAAAACCAUGUUCUGUGUAACAUGUGUAAACCUACUGGAUUUAGAGUCCAGAAGUGUUGGUAGUAAUGCCCUUCAAAUCCUCCAUUAUUGAUAUUAUUAUGAUGGUUGAUUAAGUAUGACUGGGUUAAAUGAAAAUCCCUGGCCAGCUGCAGAACACUAAUACAAAUCUUAUGGUCAAGAUGAAUAAUGAUAUGAUAAAGUUGUGACCUUGCUGAGAAAUACAUCUGACAUCAAGAUACCCAGUGUGAUGACCUGCAACCUUUCUGAAAAAACAACAUCCUGCUGAUCAAUAGAUAUGACAAACCUGUGACCUUUCUAACAUCAUGUCAACACCAGCCAAUUUUCUGACCACACAAAUACUGUGUCCUUAGCCUGACUAAAUGUUUCAAACUUCCCCCCUCACUCCAUUACCCCCUUAUGGUAUGAAUUCAGCCUUGGGAAAAAAUAAAAUUGUUGCCUUGAUCGAACUCUUGUCUUGGCUUCCUUCUUCAUGUCUCUUUUCCCCACAUUCUCUUCCAGGUACCCUCAGCACCAUUGUUGAUCAAUGGCGCCCAGCAUGAGGCUGUUUGGAGGUCUCCUGGAGAGGAACAUUGUCCCCCAUGAGUAGACAGGCCUGUCUUCCUUGUUUGGUUGAGCCUUUGCUCCCCCUCGGAGCUUUUGACCCCUAGGAGGUUUUGCUCCCCUCAGAGACUUUGCUUCCCACCUUGGAGCCUUUGCUCCCCUGCUUGUGGAAACCAUGGAGUGCCCGACCUUGGUUAAGAAGCUUAGUGUGGGGGCUGGGGAUUUAGCGCAGUGGUAGAGCGCUUACCUAGGAAGCGCAAGGCCCUGGGUUCGGUCCCCAGCUCCAAAAAAAAGAACAAAAAAAAAGAAGCUUAGUGUGUUUCUCCACGGACAACACAGAUCUUAGUGGUGAGAGAUGAGACAAGCAUUCUACAGUCACCUUUUGUGACAGGACUCAGGGAGUCACUCAGGACACGAAGAAUAUGGUUAAGAAAAAGAUUUAAAGAAAUUAUUAUACUUUGUAGGAAAUAUUUGUCCAUAGUUACCCCAGGAGGGAACAAUUGACACAAAAGAUAGUGCAGAGUUAGUUACUGUUUUAUGGGCCAGCUAAUCCUGUUGCUGAAGUCUGCCCUUUGUAAUGAAUAAAAGUUGCAUGCUUUUUGGGUUCAAGGUUGCCUCUCCCUGCAUUGGUGAGCAACCCCACAUACGUGGAUUGAAAACCUUAUACACUCAUGCUACUGCAGCAGUCACUUUGUCAAUCUGUGCUCUGUGGGUGGUGCUCCUGGUGUAAGGCCACAAUGGGUUCUUACAACAUUUUGUUGCAUCAGCUUGGAACUGGGCUCCCCCAGACCACAAUUGGCCAAGAGAUCAGAGGUAAGCUCGAGCAAAUCUGUGGUCUGUGUUCUGUGUUAAUUUCUGUUUUGUCUCUGUGUCAUGUUGUCUCCUCAUUGUUUCAUGUUGUCUUAUGUUGUCUGUGUCUGCUGUCUGGAGUGUUUGAGGCCCUUCAGAGGGGUGCUUGAGUCCUCUACUGUAGAGGGGUUAGUGUCCCCUCAGUGGAUGCUGUGGGUCCUGUGACGGGCUUACGGCUGUGACAGGAGGACAUGUUAGUUGUCACAGGCCACAGGCCCUAAAGGAUGCUCUAGGAGGAGAAAGGAAUCUAGAGAAAACUAUAGAAUCCCUUUGGGAGGUGGGAUCAGACAGUCCACCUCAUUCCAGAAGCAGCUAAGGUUAAGCUGAUAUUUGGGCCAUGAACUGAAUGCAUCAGGCAUCUGUGGAAAUUGCAUAUAGGAUGCAUUGUCUUCAUCUUGUUUGUCUAGUAUGAUUUCUGUGAUAUAGUCGAGAAUCUUUUGGCUUUUGUUUCACUUUUGGACUUGGACUGACAACUGUGUUUGAAAUCAUGCACUGACGACUGUGUUUAAAAUCAUGGAAUUAAGACUGUGUUUGAAAUCAUGGAACUGUUUGUGUUGUUUGCCAAUGAGUUUUACUUGGUCCUCUUGGUGCUUAACUUGGGAAUGAUUUGCUUGAGAGCAAUUAUUUUCAACCUGGGAGUUUUGUCUUUCUCUCUUGAGCCUCCUCCCCAAGGAGAAAUGCCUCUCCCUUUGCUUCCCUGGUCCAGUCUAGCUAAUUUUAACAGUUCAUGACACAUGUGUAUGGACUCCAGGUUAUCGAGUGAUCAUGUCUGAAGAAGGCAUUUACAAGAAUCUGAAAGCUUUGCCUUGAAUCCUGAUGAAAGGAUGUCCCUUUUGCUUAGGCCUUCACAGCUUCUAAGGAAGGGACAGCACAGAGUAGGGAAGUGUGGGGCUAAGGGUGGCAGGUGAGCAGGCCUACUAGCAAGCAAGUUGCAGGCUGCUCAUGGGCAGUGGCACAGCUCAGGCCAAGCUGGCAAAAGAGGACUCUCAAGGCAAAGGGGCUGCUGGUUGGGGCUAGCGCUUUGACAACAAAAGGAUAAUAGAGAGUUAGUGGUUGUUUUAAAGAUUAUUAUGAGCCAUGAAAGAAAUUCCAACUGCUAUCUUCAGUAGCCAGAAUUUCAACACUUGCUCACAGAAGGAGAUCAUUCAUUAAAUGAAGUUUUUUUGAGGGAGCCUGCCUUAUCUGCUAGACCUAUUCCAAGAGAAGAGUCAGUCUCCAACAUUAAGUACAUUCCCUGUUAGUCAUCAUUGAAGUAGAGAGUGCCUCUGAUCCUAUCCAUGAAAUAAUUAGUUCCUGCCCCUGUGGUCAAAAUGCCACAGGUUGAGGGGCAGGAGCCCCUAAAAUAGUUUCAGAAACUCUGCAGCACACUGCGAGGAACUUUGAUUUGCCAGACAGAACAGGCUUUAUUCUAGGAUGAUUACAGGAGAAAUUCUUGGCACCAGCUCUUCAGCUUACUCCAACUGGAGGCUGUGCCCAAGGUCAGGAUCAAUGUUUUCUUUUCCAUGGCCCUCCAACCCAGUGAGACAGCUUGAUGAAGGGCAAAUAUUGAAGUCCUGGAAUUCAGAGGUAUGGGGGAGGGCUGUAGUUCUAUUAAAGGUCAGUAUUCCAGUGUUAGCAACCUCUUUAUUGGUUGUAAGAGGCAGGAAGCCCAAUGAAUUGUGACCCCUGACUCAGGUAUGUCAGUAGAAAGAGUCCUUAUAACCAGUUAUCUUUAACUAUAGCUUGCACUCUGAUACCCAAGGCUUCAAUCAGAUCAUACCCCCCUGGGUGAGCCUCCUUCAAUACUCAGAAACUAUCUUCUCCUGGUCUUUUGACACAAGGUCACCAGGCAUGUCUGACAGCCCGGACGACCCUCCCCCAAAGUGAACAAGCCAUACAAUACUUUUGUCAGUCUGUUGGCAUCUAGCACGCAGGUCCUAACCAUCUCUCCAUCCUUUUGUAACUCUUACUGGAAUCCUAGGGUCAUUCUGAGGCUGAGUCUCUUGAAAGGCAGAGCCACUAACCUGACACUGAAUGGAGGUACUCCUUAAGGGAAAGUCUAAGUCCAGAGAGACGGCCGAUAACCUGCCCCUCUGCUUGCCUUUCUGUUUUAUAGGCACAAGGCUUGCACUUAUGUUUGCAAUGGUCUUUUUGUCCCAAGAAAGCUUCCUCAUUUAGCUGUGUGACUGAAUGCUACUUGUCACCUGAUCUGUUUGUUCCACCAGCUCUCAGCAGGUCAACCCCUAGCUUUCUUGCCUGGCCCCUUUCCUCUGUUCUUAAGAAUUUUGUCACCAAAUACACUGUUGUUUGACUUACAAUAUCACCUGCCCUGCUAAUAUACAUGUCCCAGAUUCCUGUUAUGAAAGUUCUAAUUCUAAAACAAGGGGAUGGUACCUCCCCCUAAAUAUUAAAUUUACCUCUACGAUUUGAAACCAGGAUUGGACACGUGGAUAUACUUGGGGCCAUAAAAUGUUUCAAUCGGGUGCCAACACAGGGAUUAUAUUUACCAUAAAAUUGUUAAAAGAGUCUGUACAUUCCUACUCCUUGGCUCCUGGCACUCAUCCCAAGAAGAAGCCCAUGGAGGCACUGAACACAGCACAGAGCACACAGGCAACUUCAUCUACAGCCUGCACUCCACUGAGACGAGGUACUUUCUCGAAGAACUGCACCACUUCGAGUCCACUGCCAUUGCACAAGAAGAAUUGAAAGCUCUACCACCCAGUCCAGGACAGAUGAGAUAUGUAUUCUUCCAUAAUGAGAUACCUUUCAUAGGGUUUGGAUUUUUAGAUAAUGCAAUUAUGGUUGUUGUAGGAACCCAAAUUGAAUUGGGUAUUAACAUCAUUUUCGGAAUUUCAACAAUGGCACUCAAUAUGUUAUCUUUUCCUUCUAUGUAUCAACAUAUUAUUAACUUUCAGUCAUUGAUGCUGUACUGUACUUACAUGGGGUUUGCUUAUUUCUUAUAUGACAUGCACGGGAUACCUAUGCAUGUCUUUAUUUUUUAUUAUAUGUUUAUACUUCAAUGCUGAGGUUUAUCCAAAUUAUUUGAGAUGUUUAAUAUCAGUUAAAAUUGUAAUUCUCUGCCUGGUGGCAUCCCUUCUAUGAUAGUUCAUGGUAAACAUUUACAAUCAUAUAAAUUCACUCAAUUUUUAAAUUUCCACAUCUAUCUAAAAGAGAGCAGAGUUUUAAGUAUAUCUGACUAUUUUAAUUUUGAACUAUACUGUCUUUAAGGGGCAGAGGUUGAUCAGAAAGAACAGUUGUCUGGUCCCUCUUUUACAUAAAACAUACAGGCUAACAAAUCUACUUCUUUCUGAUUGGCUUUUGACUUUUAAUUUCCCAACUUUGAGCAAUCACACUGAAUUCUGGUUUGUAAGAGAAAGGCAGUGAAUGUAUACUUCAUGUGUGUUAGAAUAUGGUUAAAGAGAGCAUGAAAUAGGUCAUAAAAUGAUUAGAAAAGAGAAAACAACAAAGAGAAAAAGCUGAGAACCGGUAUCAAAAUUGGUUUGCCACCUCCCCUUGGUUUUCCACCCUGCUUCCCUCUCUGUUGGACCCCCUAAUAGGCCUUCUUUUGCUUAUAUCUUUUGGCCAUUGAACAUUUAAUCAUUUGACCAGCUUUAUUAAACAACAGGUAGAUAAUAUGGCAGCAAAACCUAUUCAGGUAUAUUAUCAUAGGCUAACUAUUGAGGAUGCCUUUGAUGAGGGUCAAGCUCACCUACACAUCCCCUCCUAGCCCAGGCAAGGACACUUUUGUCCUUCAGCCAAAUGAGGCCAACAUUCUUUUCUACCUGAUGUCCUGAUGCUUUUGCUGAAAAGUCAAUGAAUUGUCACCCUUGCGUGCUGAACUGGACAGUCAAUGAUGGGUAAGAGAGUGAUAUAUACACGAAUAAAGGUCCUAAGACAGGAAGGCUCCCAUUAGCUGCUGCCUUAUCCCAUGACAGACCCUGGCCACAAGGUUCUCUUGGCCAUGUGACAAAUAUCACUCCAACCUAAGACAGAAGCAGUUCCUGAGGGGCUCAUUCCAGGACAGCACAGCCAUUUGGUCACCUUUUCACAUGAUUAUAAGAAAGGGGGAGAUGCUGGAAGCGAUGUCUUGAAACCCUCCAAUAUUGAAGCUAUUAUUAUGGCUAGUUAAGUAUGACUGGGUUCAUGAAAAAUCCCCAGCCAACUGCAGAACACUAAUAGAAAUAUGGUGGUCAAGAUGAAUAAUGAUAUGACCUUGUGACCUUGCUGAGAAAUACAUCUGACGUCAAGAUACCCAAUGUGAUGACCUGCAACUUUUCUGAACAAACAACAUCCUGCUGACCAAUAGAUAUGACAAACCUGUGGCCUUUCUAACAUCCUAUCAACAUCAGCCAAUUCCCUAACCACAUGAAUACCGUGUCCUUGGCCUGAUUAAAUGUUUCAUACUUCCCCUCUCCCUCUGUUACCCCCGUUAUGGUAUAAAUUCAGCCUUAAGAAAAAAUAAAAUUGUUGCCUUGAUCAGACUCUUAUCUUGGCAUCCUUCCUCAUGUCUCUUGUUCCCCAUUCCCUUCUAGGUAACCUCAGCACCAUUAUUAUUUUAUUCCCUGUAACUAGAAUUAGUUAUCUAAUUAGAAUCAGCCACCUCAUGGAUUCUAAGACUUGAGUCAUGGUCUUUGAAAGAAAAGCUGAAUAAUUUCUGCAGCCCCAUUAAUUUAUUUUUUCUUUUAAGCUUGAUAAUGUACAUGAUGAAUUUUAGGCCUUUUAAUCUCCUAUUACCUUGUCUACAUAUUAAAGGCCCUCUCCAGCUCAAUUUUCUUUCCAAGGAAUCCUCAUAUCUUCAGCAUAUUUGAGACAUAAAAUGCUGCUAUCACAUCAGGGAUAUAGGAGAGAUUGGAGGGUUUGCUUAUUUUCUGGUUCUUCCACAGAAAUCUAAAGGAGGCGCCAGAAUGAAUCCAUGACAGACUCAACUAUGUGCUUUCUUGUUGGGGACAGGACUGCUUGACUAGGCAAAGCCUGAGAAGGGCUUGACCUUUUUAAAGAGAGAACAUGUCCCCGGAAGACUGUUGUCUCAUUGUCUAAGGAGAAUGUCUUGCGGUUUAAUGAUUCACCUUAUGUCCUUGUGCACUUCCCAGUACUCCCCCCGCCCUAAGCUUCAGUUCCUGCUUCAAUUCCUGCUUCAGAGCUUUAAAUGCUGUAUAUUACUCUCAAUAAACAGACCUUGACAAGGACACUGCUUGGUCUAGCUCCGCUUUCUCACCCGUUCUCCCGCAGGUAUGGGCCCCCCUCUACCCCCACAAAUAACUGGUUCCCCGCUGGCGGGGGCAAGUGCUUCUCUUGAGAUUACAGCAUGGUAAAGGGUUCCACAUCUGUCUUUCUGACCAAGUCUAACCACCACCUCUGCAGAAGCUAUCUUGCUACAUCUCUACCUCAUGCCUUCCCUCUCAGAUGCAAGUUUUUGCAUUAAAGGCUGAGGCUGCUUCGGCAAGUUCCAAAUGCUAUAUGUUUUUCUUUUAUUAUAUAUGCUAACUAUUAGAGGAAGCAGUUUUUGUUAACCUAUAAGAAAGCAAUUAUAGAAAUAUGAAGAACUCUGCUGUGAACCAGUAGUCUGGAUGGUUGGAAUUUCUCAAACCUGGUUUCAGAGGAUCCCUGUGUUGGAAUCUGAACUGGUAAAAUAUCAAAACAUUUUAUUAACUUCUACUAAAAAUUAUUGAGAAAACUGUUAUUGAAUUUAAAGAAGGUAAGUAAUUAAUGACCACACAUUUGAAAAGGCCUUCCUCAGUAGUUCUAAGAAAAAGUGACAGGUAACUUGAAUAUAUUAUGAGUUAGAAAGUUAGUUUAGUUAUUAAGGUCAUGCAACAUUCUGAUAAAGGAUAUAAUUUAGAUCACAAGAUCUACUUCAGGGAAAUCACAACCACCUAUAACUACAGAUCAAGUGUAUUUGUCAUUAAGUACCUCUUUAUGGUUCAGAAGGCAUCUAAAUGUGCCUUUUACAAAAAGUACCAAGUGGGGAUAUGCAUAUGUGUAAAUAAAUAAAUAAAUGAAUAAAUAAAUAAAUAAAUAAAUAAAUGUAAAGAAAAUGUUACUAGAUGACUUGGAAAUUAAAUUCUUAUGUGUAUAUAUACAUAUAUUAAAGAAAUUAUUAAGGUAGAGGAAAUAAAAUAAAUCUUAAAUAAAGUGCACAACUUGCUGAGGCUAUUUUGUUUGUAUAUAUAGGAUUUGAGAGCUUACUGUUCUACAUAGUACAACUGUAUGGGAAUUCAUUCCUGGAAGAUGCUAAUUCUCCUCCUCUGAGUACUUAUUACUUGUUUACAGUUCUGUUUCUAGGGAUGGGACUCCAUGUAUUAACUUUCAUUUUCUGAGACAGUUUUAAUGUUCUUAAGCUAAUGUAGAACUCUGCAUUUUAAAGGUCAAUGUCAUGAUAAGCUCUCUCUCUCUCUCUCUCUCUCUCUGUGUGUGUGUGUGUGUGUGUGUAUAUAUAUAUAUAAUUAAUUUUAACUUAUAUACACAAUCAUAGUUUUAACACAACCUGUUAGUUUCUGCUUAUGAAUGGAAUAUGCCAUAUUUCAAUGUAUAUAUCAAUAUUAUUUGAUUAAAAGUUACCACUUUUCAUCUCUUUCUAACUUUUUAGACUCAACAAUUUAAUUUGGAGCAUCUGUCAAAUUUAGAAAGCUAGAAAUAGUCUAUGAGAAUAGGAAGGUCAGAGGUCUUAUGGGGUGAGAGUAUUAAUAGAAUACAUGUGCUAUGAAAGUAGGGGAUAAAAGUCUAAGCACAGAAAGGAAUGAUGAUAUAUAAGGAUGUGUCAGGUUUGAAUAAUCAAAAAAAAAUAAAAAAAAAUCUAUCAUUUUCAGACCUUACUACAUUGCACACUAAUUUAAAAGUGUAGUAGUGGCUAUUUAGAAGGCGUAGUGGUUAAAGUCUCAUAGUGCUCUCAUAGCAGAUGAAAGUUUGGUUUCCACCAUCCAUGUGUGUGACAUAAAACUGCCUGUAUGUUCAGGAUCAAGGAAUCUGAUGCCUUAGCCUCAGAGGGCACUUGAAUCCAUGUGCUUAACUACAUACCUGGACAAGGACAUUAAAAUCAAAUCAAAUAUUUAAAAGGUAUAUUUAUGAGAAAGAAGUCUUUAGUGACAUGUACCAUACAUGGAAGACAAUGUUUCACCAAUAAGAUAUGGGAUGAUAACUGAAAACUCAAUGCCAAAUGUGAGAUAUUUUCCUAUGACUCAAGGAUGCCAGAGGGGAUCCUAAAACAUAAAGAAUAUCUCCACUGCUCUUGGUUGUCUCCCUGAACCAAAGAAGAAGACACUAUAUCUGAAGACAAAUUUCAUUGUGGCUGUAGCAUAUGGAGAAAGCAUGUUGGAAAUGACCUAGAAAAUUUCCUUCCUGCUGGGCACUUUUCAUUGUCUUAGAACAUGAUGUGCAGUCUACUGUGGGAGAAAAGUUAUCAGUAGUUUUACCCAGCAAGGUAUAUUGAAUGCUGUAAUGCGUAUUUGCCAGGCAGGAUUUGUAUACGUGUGCAAUCAUUGCAAAAAUGUUCUGGGAGCAAAAAUCUCCAUUUAUAGUAGCUUUGAACCUUGUACCACAAGAGUAAAAGAAUUCAUGGCUGGAAAUGUAAACUUGGUAAAAAAAAAUUGGCUGAGAAGCUGUUAGAGCUGAAGGUUUGGGAGUAUCUAAGUGGAGUUUGAUUUUUUAAGGACAUGCUGUCAAUCUGUUUUUUAAAUAUUUAUGUUUGUACAUGUACAUUAGUGUUCUCCACUUUGGAUAUAAAAACUUCUAUGUGCAGUGGGCAUCAAUACAUGCAAUGUCUCAUAACUGGUCCAAAUGCUCAGAUUGAAUGUUCAAUGCUCAUCCAUAAGUAAGGUAUCUAUAAAUCCCUUGUAAGGUUCAGGAAAACCAGAGAAAGAGAGAUAAAAUGAAAGAAGUGAAAUGGGUGCUGGAGGCUGCUGUCUUCUGAACAUGACAAGGACAAGGAGAUCAUGAGUCAGUGAAGGUACAUUGAACUUAGAUAAUGACUUGUUUGAGGUUUCCAGGUUAAGUGUGUGGGAAACUGGGGUAGGUAAGAUCAAGAGAGAUGGUACACAGAUAAAAGAAUAAGUUAAUAAUAUUUAUAAAAAAAGUAAAAUCCACCACCUUUACAACACUUUGCCAUUUUCUGUAGAAUAAUAUAGAUACUUUUAGUGUCUUAUUUAGUAUCAGGUAUAAAGGUUUUGUGAUUCUAUUUCAUUUCCAGUACUGUGUAAACUAAAUAUACCCAUUUAACAAAUUAUAUUUCAGUAUACUUGGGGUUUACUAUAUGAAAUUUUAAACUAUUACAAAUUUCCUUUAAUUAUUACAUGAUUCAUAGGGAAUAAAUGCUUAUGAAGCAAACUUGUUGACUCCUCCCCUCUAUUAUUUCUGCAACGGACAUGUGUUUAACUUUUGUGCAACAAAUCUCUUAUUAAGUCCUCACUACCUUUGUAAAAGAAUUUAUCAGCUGGGGCAAAUAAAUAUGAGGGAAAGAGUGUUUUAUACAUUCAUUAUCAUUUUAUCAUCAUACUUUGUUCUCUCCAUUUAUGUUUUAGGUUCAAUUAAGAUCUGGUGUUAUAUUACAUGUAUCCUAUAUUUUGAAUUUCUUUAACAUUUUUAUAGUACUCAAAAACACUGAAUUUAUAAUCUCAUUUUCUGAUUCUUUAGUAAAAUUUUAAUUUGCCUAAACUAUAUUUACUAGCUUUCAAUUUUAGUCCUUGAAGGUGUGUGGUGUGGUGUUGUAUGUGUGUGCGUGCAUGCGGACAUAUGUGCAAGGUAGGUGUGUGUGUGUGUGUGUGUGUGUGUGUGUGUGUGAUGGUUUUUUUUAUAUCAGCACUUGAAACCUGUCAUUUCAAUAUCUUUUGCACAGCAUAGUUCCUAAUGAAUGUUAAAUAAACAGUACAGUGCCCUAAUUUUUAUUCCGAGUUAUUUUUCAGAAGGUCAAAAAUUUUAUACUUUUCA